CCUACGGGCGGCAGCAGUGGGGAAUAUUGCACAAUGGGGGAAACCCUGAUGCAGCGACGCCGCGUGAGUGAAGAAGUAUUUCGGUACGUAAAGCUCUAUCAGCAGGGAAGAAAAUGACGGUACCUGACUAAGAAGCCCCGGCUAACUACGUGCCAGCAGCCGCGGUAAUACGUAGGGGGCAAGCGUUAUCCGGAUUUACUGGGUGUAAAGGGAGCGUAGACGGCAGCGCAAGUCUGGAGUGAAAUCCCAUGGCUUAACCAUGGAACUGCUUUGGAAACUGUGCAGCUAGAGUGCAGGAGAGGUAAGCGGAAUUCCUAGUGUAGCGGUGAAAUGCGUAGAUAUUAGGAGGAACACCAGUGGCGAAGGCGGCUUACUGGACUGUAACUGACGUUGAGGCUCGAAAGCGUGGGGAGCAAUCAGGAUUAGAUACCCGGGUAGUC
rnacentral:rRNA from 1 species